rnacentral:pre_miRNA from 1 species
UGGAAGCUGGUUUCAGGUGGUGGCUUAGAGUGUUGUAGUCAUUAUCUAGCACCAUUUGAAAUCAGUGUUCU